UAAUGGCUCACCAAGGCGACGAUCGUUAGCUGGUCUGAGAGGACGAUCAGCCACACUGGGACUGAGACACGGCCCAUACUCCUACAGGAGGCAGUAGUGGGGAAUAUUGGACAAUGGGGGCAACCCUGAUCCAGCCAUGCCGCGUGAGUGAUGAAGGCCUUCGGGUUGUAAAGCUCUUUUGGCGGGGACGAUGAUGACGGUACCCGCAGAAUAAGCCCCGGCUAACUUCGUGCCAGCAGCCGCGGUAAUACGAAGGGGGCUAGCGUUGCUCGGAAUCACUGGGCGUAAAGGGUGCGUAGGCGGGUCUUUAAGUCAGGGGUGAAAUCCUGGAGCUCAACUCCAGAACUGCCUUUGAUACUGAGGAUCUUGAGUUCGGGAGAGGUGAGUGGAACUGCUAGUGUAGUGGUGAAAUU
rnacentral:rRNA from 1 species